rnacentral:rRNA from 1 species
GACGAACGCUGGCGGCGUGCCUAAUACAUGCAAGUCGAACGCACUCUCGUUUAGAUUGAAGGAGUUUGCUCCUGAUUGAUAAACAUUUGAGUGAGUGGCGGACGGGUGAGUAACACGUGGGUAACCUGCCCUAAAGUGGGGGAUAACAUUUGGAAACAGAUGCUAAUACCGCAUAAAACCUAACACCGCAUGGUGUAGGGUUGAAAGAUGGUUUCGGCUAUCACUUUAGGAUGGACCCGCGGUGCAUUAGUUAGUUGGUGAGGUAAAGGCUCACCAAGACCGUGAUGCAUAGCCGACCUGAGAGGGUAAAUCGGCCACACUGGGACUGGGACACGGCCCAGACUCCUACGGGAGGCAGCAGUAGGGAAUCUUCCACAAUGGACGAAAAGUCUGAUGGAGCAACGCCGCGUGAGUGAAGAAGGUUUUCGGAUCGUAAAACUCUGUUGUUGGAGAAGAAUGUAUCUGAUAGUAACUGAUCAGGUAGUGACGGUAUCCAACCAGAAAGCCACGG